AGGAAACCAUAGUCCAGAAGAACUGGGAGAACGUCAUGGAAAAAGUUGAAGACUUGGUAUGGAGGAGUAUGGCCAGCUGCAUUCUCAGACGUGAGCCACUAAUCCACGGGGCAAGGCUGGACAUCACAAACAGUACCAUCCCCGGCCUGACGGGGGCACGGUGCAGUUCAGGGACCGUUUGCCUGCAGCAGCUGGUUGAUGCAGUGGGGCCAGCGCUGGACAAUGCUGAGGCCCUGGGCACUCUGCUGGGUUUUCGCUCACACCGAGUGGCUGGGAGGCUCCUGGAGCUCUGGAGGCAGAGGCUGUCUGUUAAAGAAAAAAGACUUCUGAUGGAUUACAAUUUAAGGAGAGCCAGACCAGACCCCGCUGACCCCUUCCCUGAUGUCCACCUGAGCCCCGUGGUAGGAUAGCUGACAGGCCCCCUGCUCACGCCCUGUUGCCCAAAUAGGCUCUCAGUAAACAGAGCU
ensembl:lncRNA